GGCCCAGGUCUCACUUCUUUUUUAAGCUGGAGCAGAUUGAGUAUGGCCGGAGUGUAAUGGCACUGCUCACUGCAACCUUUGCUCACUGCAACCUCCACCUCCUCAGUUCAAGCAAUUCUCCUGCCUCAGCUUCCUGAGUAGCUGAGAUUACAGGUGCCUUUCACCAUGCCUGGCUAAUCUUUUGUAAGAGCUGCUCCAGUUCUGCAAGCUUCAUUCAAGGAUCUGGGGGAAGCCAGUUGUGCUUCUUAAGGCCUCCCUGUUGAGAGACUCAUGCCAGUGAACUUGGAAGCAGAUCUCCUAAAGCCUCUCAACAGCUACAGAAAUUAACUUGAAAGGAGAUCCUCUAACCAGCUGAGGCUUGAGAUGACUGCAGCCCUGGCCAGGACCUCAGUCGCAGGCUGUGAGAGUCCUGGAGCCAAAAUCACCCAGAGAAGCUACUCCUGGAUUCCCAACACAGACCAUUGAAAUAAUAAAUGUUUAUUGCUUUAACCUCUAAGG
rnacentral:lncRNA from 10 species